AGGACCUGUGGGGAUCGUUCUCAGUCAAAUCACCACAACCAGCACAGUUUUAUUCUGUCUGGGGUUUGUUUGUUUGAUUGCUUGGAAGGAUUUGGCUCCUCUGUAGAGCUUUCUGCUAAGAUAACCUUUAUUCAAAACUAUGAAGUCAGUACCACUGGAAUCAAGGUACUCGGGAUGGAAGAGGGAAAAGAGAAAUGCACUGAAGAACUUCUGGUGGUCUCCCAGCAGCUUCUUGCCACUUCUGAAGACUCGGGAUGAUUGGCAGAUCCUCGAGGUUUCUUCUGGAUCAAACCGCCAUUGCUGAGUUGUGAAUGGUGUUUGCAAGUGGAUUGAGCUACCACUGCUGAUUCGUGUGGACUGAACUGCUGAUAUCCUGACAAUGAAGAAUCACCCAAAAGAACUAGUUCUAGGGCUGGAGAGAUGGCUCAGUGUAAGAGCACUGACUGCUCUUCCAGAGUUCAAUUCUCAGCAACAACAUGGUGGCUCACAACCAUCUGUAAUGAGAUCUGAUGCCCUCUUCUGGUGUGUCUGAAGAUAGCUACAGUGUACUCAUAUACAUAAAAUAAAUAAGUAAUUCUUUAAAAAAAAAAAAAGAACUAAUUCUAAACAGGUGCACAUCUCCCUUUGCCCUAUUAACCUUUCCUUCCCACUACUUUCUGGUGGGUGGUGGGCUAGAAAGGAGGUUAAUGUGCAUAAGAAUACUUAUUAAAGUAGGUUUUAAAAACUAUAAACCUACACCUGUAAGGUAUUUUCUUAACUAGUGAUUGAUGGGAGAGGGCCCAGACUUCUGUGGGUGGUGCCAUCACUGGGCUGGUGGUGCUGAGUUCUAUGAGAAGGCAGGCUGAGCAAGCCACGGAUAGCAAGCCAGUAAGCAGCGCCCCUCCAUGGGUUCUGCAUCAGCUCCUGCCCUGCUUGAAUCUCUAUUCCCCACUUCCACCCCUUUCCCCUCUCCUCUCUCCCAUCCCUUUCCCCUCUCCGUUCUCCUACCUCGGUCCUGACUUCCUCAAAUGAUGAAGAACAAUGAUGUGGAAAUGUAAGACAAACCAACCCCUUCCUCCCCAAGUUGCUCUGGUCAUGGUGUUUCACCACAGCGACAGUAACCUUAGGUAGGACAUAUACACAUAAGCUUUAUUACAGUGGCUUACAGGCUGUGGUCCGGCUAGUUCAAUAGUGGUUUAGUCCACAAGAAUAGAUAUCUUUGUUGGGGUCCAGGAAUUGCCUCAAAAACCACACAAACCUGGUCUCAGUCAGACAGAGAUAAUCUAUUGAGCAUGCCUCAGGACUGGGGGACCAGGGUCAUGGUCCUGAUUUAGGAACUGAACCCCCCAGCAGUGAGUUAAGAUUCUACAGGGUUUUUAAGCCCAAAAAUCCACAAACAUCUAUGUGAAGUUAUUUCACCAAUCAAGAUUUAGGGAUAGAGGGUCUCCUUAGGAACACGUCUUAGUUGUAUGCUUAUCCUACUCCCACUGGUUGGGGUGUUCAACUGUGUCUGGUGACUUGCCUGUCUAAUAUUCAUGUCUUUUUUUGGGGGGGGGGUUCUUUUUUUCGGAGCUGGGGACCGAACCCAGGGCCUUGCGCUUCCUAGGCAAGCGCUCUACCACUGAGCUAAAUCCCCAACCCCCUAAUAUUCAUGUCUUAACUUGUCUAUCAGGAAGGGACUUGUCUAAUAUCCAUGUGUUAACUUGCCAACCAGGAUGUCAGUUACCUGUGUACAUGUCUCUUUCUGCCAGGUAGGAUGUCAGUUCCCAGGGAGGUCUUGGGAAUUUAAACUUUUUCAACUACUACUUAAAGUGGAAAUUUUAUUCCAAAUAGUUUCUUAUAUUGGUGCAGGUGUCUCUCUUGUGUUGGGGUUCAUCCCAGGGGCAGCUUAUACCAUAAAAGCUUAAACACAGGUGCAGGAAGCACUACUGGGUGGUUGACUUGAGUCCAACCUUUUGUAUACAAGAUAGUUCUACUGCCUUCUAUCUUGAUUUGUUUCCAAGGGCACAGAACAUAACAGAAUAUGUAAUCAGUCUUGGCAUUAGAAAGUUUCCUAGUAACAUCAGAAACAUAUGAGAAUGUUUCCUUACAAUGGCAGGCUAGCCAGGUAACAUUUUACCUAGACCUUAACAUUCCAUUGAGGCCUUAAUAUUUUACCUAGGUUCUAACAGUCUUAAGUUUAUGUGGGGACUCCAAAGAAGUGGGUUCUAACACCAGUGAAGGAAUGACUCAGGAACAGGACAGAUGAGCUUGCCACCAAGAAUGAGAGCAAGCAGGAAAAAGGCAAAACCUUCCUUCUUCUGUAUUCUUUUACAUAGACUACCAUCAGGAAGUGUGGCCAAGAUUUAGGGUGUGUGUCUUCCACCUCAAAUAAUCCAGUCAAGAAAAUCCCUCAGGUUUUCAUUGAUUACAUAAGUAAUGAAGAUCACUGAGGUCAUAUUUCGUCAUCAAUUUGGAAUGUCCUUAGAGUCUGUAAUUUGUAUAAAUAUUAAAUCUAUUUGAUAUUUGAACCAGAAAA